CCAUAGAUGGAUUGCUCGCUAUGAGAAAGCGACAGAGAAGAGAAAGAUUGAAAAAGAUGUGUUUGUAUUACAGUUAUUUAUCCAACAAGUGAGUUUAUGGCAGUAAAUGAAAAAAGGCAUGAAGGUACUUGCAAGUACAUACCAGUCCAAAAGUUAUCCACUGUUUCAUGCUGAGGAUUUCGGGGGCCUCUUCUUAGCAGUGCGAAGCGCCGCUUUUAAAUGUUCCGCUACAUCCUUGCGGGACGGCCUUGGGAAGUGCCUAUUCUGGAGCACGGCAUCUAAAAAUCAAAUCACGAACAAUUCUUGUCUCGCAAAGUGCGAGAUUGUUAUCUUCACGGCCCAACCAGGAAUAAGAUGUUAGCAAGCAGUCACUCACUGUUUCUUUAAAAGAGAGAGUGACUGCUUCCUUCAGGUUGAAGCCGCCCACGUACUCCAAAUAGUUUACCUAAACAAAGUUCCGUACCUUGCUGCAUCCGUGGUUCAGGCCUGCUCUCCACUGCAUCUGGAAUAUGAAAAGUUUGCGUUGGUGGUGCAUAUACUGUUGGAGGUGGCCUGUAUGUGUUUGGUGGUAUGUGUGGCGAGUAUAUGUUUAUGUUUGAUGGUGUGUAUGGCGAAUAUGUGUCUAGUGGUGUGUAUGUGCUCGUGUGUUCGUGUUGUCUAUAAUUAUUAGAUGGAACUUCAUCGUCCACGCCCUCCAAGGUAGCCCUGAGGUCUGUUAUGUCCUCCACGAUACUUCCGGGGGCCACCUUUAAACGCUUUCGCGGUUCUUCGUCGGAGGACGUGGUUUGAUACCGGGCCGGCUUGUUGGCCAUCCUCUUCGGACGAUGUUCCAUUUCCAUCUGUAAUAAAAGAAUAUUUGAAGAAAAUUUAAAAUAUGUAUACAUUCAUAUCCGCGAUACAUGUAAUUGCAAUGAAUAAAAGUCAUACUUACAUUU